UUUAUAUGUGNUAAAAGUAGUUUGUUUCCAACUACUUUGUCAAUUGAUUAAUUUCUGAGACAACGUUGUUAUUUCCGACAGGGCAAGCUUCUUGAAGUUUCGUUCAUUUUUUUGUUCAUGCUUGUCUUUGCAUUAAUUGAAAAAAUACUUCGCAAGUUUUGUAACGAAAAAUACGGGCAAAAAGUUAUAAUUUUAAGUUUAGACAGACAAUAAGUGUACACCUGUUAAAUAACUCACAUACAUAUACAUACAUUUUUAAAUAUACAGAUGCCAGCGUGGGAAUAGAAGAAUUGCGAUAUCUUACUGAAAGCGACUUGAACAAAAUUUUCCCUUCAGUGGAAGUAGUGGGCACUAAAGCGAAAUUGCGUGAAAAAAAUCAAAUUGUGGAAAAAACAGGAGUUUGGUGAAGGUGACGAUGUAACGACAGCGAUCCAAAAAGUCAGUGAGUGGAUUAAGCAAAACGAAAGUCUCGCAUCCUGUUAUUCGCCCUCAAGUGCAACACCAACUUCACACGAUUCAUUUGAGGUUGAUAUUCAAAAUAUAUUGCAACAUUAUCCUCGGGGAAAAGAUUCCCUUGAGUAUUAUGAAGAUCAAAAAACGCUCACACCUUACCACCAGCAAAGUAUUGCGAACUGUGUUAUUGACCAUUACUUGGCAUCC